rnacentral:rRNA from 1 species
UACCGAGGUGCCGAGCGUUAGGCGGAAUCACUGGGCUUAAAGCGUGUGUAGGCGGACUUCUAAGUACCUUGUGAAAUCCCACGGCUCACCCGUGGAACUGCUGGGUAUACUGGUCGUCUUGAGCCACCUAGGGGCGAGCGGAACAAAUGGUGGAGCGGUGAAAUGCGUAGAUAUCAUUUGGAACGCCAACGGUGAAAACAGCUCGCUGGGGGUGUGCUGACGCUGAGACACGAAAGCCAGGGGAGCGAACGGG